rnacentral:rRNA from 1 species
ACUCAAAUGAAUUGACGGGGGCUCACACAAGCGGUGGAUGAUGUGGCUCAAUUCGAAGCAACGCGAAGAACCUUACCCGGGUUUGACAUGCUAGGAUUAGUUCCGUGAAAGCGGAAUGACACGGCUUGCCGUGGAACUAGCACAGGUGCUGCAUGGCUGUCGUCAGCUCGUGCUGUGAAGUGUCGGGUUAAGUCCCUUAACGAGCGAAACCCUUGUCGCUAGUUGCCAGCACGUAAUGGUGGGCACUUUAGCGAGACUGCCGGUGUUAAACCGGAGGAAGGUGGGGACGACGUCAAGUCCUCAUGGCCUUUAUGCCCGGGGUUGCACACGUCAUACAAUGGGAUGGUACAAAGCGACGCGAGACCGCGAGGUGGAGCAAAUCGCAGAAAACAUCCCUCAGUUCGGAUUGCAGGCUGCAACUCGCCUGCAUGAAGCUGGAAUCGCUAGUAAUCGCGUAUCAGCAACGACGCGGUGAAUGUGUUCCUGAGCCUUGCACACACCGCCCGU